rnacentral:tRNA from 1 species
GAAUUAGUAGUUCAGUGGAAGUAGCGUGUGACUACGAAUCACAAGGUCGGGGGUUCGAAUCCCUCCUAAUUCG